CCGCCCUCGGUUAACCUCCCUUAUUUCUUCUUAAAUUAUAGUUUGUCUUAUAAAGAAUUGGUUCAUUUUAUGCAUAAGCACAUGGUACCACAUAGGGUUUUAUGUGUCUGUGCCACCACUGUUGACAGUACUCGAACCUCUGUAUCUGGGGCUCACAUUUGGUUUUGACUGAGAGAGGAAAAGAGAAAAAGGC
rnacentral:lncRNA from 1 species